rnacentral:tRNA from 2 species
GCACUGGUGGUUCAGUGGUAGAAUUCUUGCCUUUCAUGUGGGAGACCCAGGUUUGAUUCCUAGCCAGUGCA